rnacentral:rRNA from 1 species
CCCUUUUUUUAAAAAACAUGUCUUAAUGUUAGUUAUAUUAAGUCUGGCCUGCUCAAUGAUUAAUAAAAUUAAAUAGCCGCAGUAUUUUGACUGUGCGAAGGUAGCAUAAUCAUUUGUCUUUUAAUUGAAGGCUUGUAUGAAUGGUUUAAUGAGAAAAUAUCUUUCUUUAUAUUAAUUUUUGAAUUUAAUUUUUUAGUUAAAAAGCUAAAAUUUUUAAAUGGGACGAGAAGACCCUAUAGAAUUUUAUUUUUAUUUUUAAUAAUUUAAUUUAUUUGUUAAUUUUAUUUUAUUUAUUAAGAUAAAAAUUUUGUUGGGGUGACAUUGAAAUUUAUUUAACUUUCAUAAUUAAUUUAUUAUUUAUAUGUAUAUAUAUGAUCCUAUUUUAUGGAUAUUAGAUUAAAUUACCUUAGGGAUAACAGCGUAAUUUUUCUGGAGAGUUCUUAUCGAUGGAAGAGUUUGCGACCUCGAUGUUGGAUUAAAAUUAGAUUUAAGUGUAGAAGCUUAAUUUUCUAGGUCUGUUCGACCUUUAAAUAUUUACAUGAUCUGAUUUUCAACCCGG